rnacentral:rRNA from 1 species
UACGUAGGGGGCAAGCGUUGUCCGGAAUUAUUGGGCGUAAAGCGUGCGCAGGCGGUUCGGAAAGAGAGGUGUGAAAUCCCAGGGCUUAACCUUGGAACUGCACUUCUAACUACCGGGCUAGAGUACGUCAGAGGGGGGUAGAAUUCCACGUGUAGCAGUGAAAUGCGUAGAGAUGUGGAGGAAUACCGAUGGCGAAGGCAGCCCCCUGGGAUGAUACUGACGCUCAUGCACGAAAGCGUGGGGAGCAAACAGG